AGGCGGCAUAAAGCGAAAGUGCAGGCAGCUGUGGAAGGCGAAGUUCAAUCCCAGAGUCCGCCCCCUGAAUUGGGGCCUUUCCGGAGGAGGAAGCUCUGAAAAACAGGGGGCCCAGUGCCAUUCCGCAGGGAAUUGUCGCUUGCGUUCACUGAAAUUGUACCACUGCACUCCAGCCUGGGCGACAGAGCGAGACUGUCUCAAAAAAAAGAAAAAUAAAAGAACGUUUUGAAAACUGUACAAGUGUCUAACCUAGCAACAGGGCAGGCUCUCAGAAGAGUGUGUUAUAGCCACUGCCACCAUGGGGAGGGGAUGUGGACUGUGCAAGCAAGUCCUCUGUCCAUGCUGGCCAUGUGAAUCCCCAGAUGACCACCAAGGUGUCCAGCAAUCAGUACCACUCUCCCUCCUACAGCUGGUACAGAGAAAAGCGGAGGAACAUCUGAGGCCCCUCACUUACAACUUCUCUGUUCCAAGAGGAAGCUGAUAAAAAUGGAGAUCCCAGCAAGGAGUAGGAUCUUCUCACAUUGACUAGUUCUGUGUGUGGCCAAAGGCACUCUGGACAAUGGAGAUUACGGAGAACCAGACUAUGAAUGGAUGAGGAGUCUGGGGUUACAUGGAAGGGACUUGAAGUCAGUGAAAUCCUUUAAGACCCUGUCUUCACACAGAGAAGAGGAAGGCUGCCAUUUCCUUUUUUGUCUUAUUAUUUCUGCUUUUAAAAAAAUUGCUACUGUUUACAUCAUAUACCACCACCAAAGGAAAAUUUUUCUUUUGGUCCAGAAGGGCAAAUGGCAUGAUGGUCUUUGUUCUAAAAUAGUAGUAUAUCACCACCUAGACCAGAACGUUAAAGAGGCAAUGCCUUCUCAGAAAAUUACUAAGGAUUGUAUCUUCUGAAAACAUCGUGAUUUGAAUUUGCUUAUUAAGUUUAUUUGAUUUUUAUAUGAUAUUUUAUAGAUGCUUGUCACAGGCACUGGUACUUCAAUGAGAGGUCAGUCCUUAUGUUGCCUUGGUGCUUUGAAAAUUAAAUGUCAUGAACAAAGAGUACAUAAUUUUUUAUCCACACUUUUAGGACAGAAUUCAAUCAGGUGUCUAAAAUGCAAACUCAACAUUAUCAUAAUAUAUACAUAUGAUAAUAUAUAUACCCAUGAUAAUAUAUGCAUUGCUAGUUUCCACCAUUUUUAACUUAUCAUACUUGUAAUUAAAUUUGCAUAUCUGGUACAUAUCUGAUUUUCUCAGUCAUCCAAAUUUUUUUUGAGUAUAUAUUUCUUUGUGCUGCCAAAACAUAAUAAAAAUAUACAUACUUGAUAA
rnacentral:lncRNA from 1 species